CCUACGAGUGGCAGCAGUGGGGAAUAUUGCACAAUGGGGGAAACCCUGAUGCAGCGACGCCGCGUGAGUUAAGAAGUAAUUCGUUACGUAAAGCUCUAUCAGCAGGGAAGAAAAUGACGGUACCUGAGUAAGAAGCCCCGGCUAACUACGUGCCAGCAGCCGCGGUACUACGUAGGGGGCAAGCGUUAUCCGGAUUUACUGGGUGUCAAGGGAGCGUGGACGGUGCGCCAGGUCUGGAGUGAAAUGCCGCAGCUUAACUGCGGAACUGCUUUGGAACUUGGCGAACGAGAGUGCGGGAGGGGUAAGCGGAAUUCCUAGUGUAGCGGUGAAAUGCGUAGAUAGUAGGAGGAACACCGGUGGCGAAGGCGGCUUACUGGACCGUAACUGACGUUGAGGCUCGAAAGCGUGGGGAGCAAACAGGAUUAGAUACCCCGGUAGUC
rnacentral:rRNA from 1 species